AUACGUAGGGGACAAGCGUUAUCCGGAUUUACUGGGUGUAAAGGGAGGGCAGACGGCAGUGCAAGUCUGAAGUGGAAGCCCGGGGCUCAACCCCGGGCCUGCUUUGGAAACUGUUCUGCUCGAGUACUGGAAGGGCAAGCGGAAUUCCUGGUGAACCGGGGAAAUGCGUAGAUAUCAGGAGGAACACCGGUGGCGAAGGCGGCUUGCUGGACAGCAACUGACGUUGAGGCUCGAGAGCGUGGGGAGCAAACAGGAUUAGAUACCCUGGUAGUCCACGCUGUAAACGAUGAAUACUAGGUGUUGGGAGACUAAGUCUUUCAGUGCCGUCGCAAACGCAGUAAGUAUUCCACCUGGGGAGUACGUUCGCAAGAAUGAAACUCAAAUGAAUUGACGGGG
rnacentral:rRNA from 1 species